rnacentral:rRNA from 1 species
GACGAACGCUGGCGGCGUGCCUAAUACAUGCAAGUCGAGCGGAACUGGGGGAGCUUGCUCCUUCCAGUUUAGCGGCGGACGGGUGAGUAACACGUGGGCAACCUGCCCUGCAGAUCGGGAUAACUCCGGGAAACCGGUGCUAAUACCGAAUAGUUUGGCGCCUCUCCUGAGGCGCUACGGAAAGACGGUUUCGGCUGUCACUGCAGGAUGGGCCCGCGGCGCAUUAGCUAGUUGGUGGGGUAACGGCCCACCAAGGCGACGAUGCGUAGCCGACCUGAGAGGGUGACCGGCCACACGGGGACUGAGGCACGGCCCAGACUCCUACGGGAGGCAGCAGUAGGGAAUCUUCCGCAAUGGACGCAAGUCUGACGGAGCAACGCCGCGUGAGUGACGAAGGUUUUCGGAUCGUAAAACUCUGUUGUGAGGGAAGAACACGUACCAACUAACUAUUGGUACCUUGACGGUACCUCACCAGAAAGCCACGGCUAACUACGUGCCAGCCGCCGCGGUAA